CGAUCCUGCAAUUGCAGAUUAGACUACAAUUAGACUAAUUGUGGUCUGCGCGUAGAACAGCUGGUAGGACCGCCUUUGGAGUGAAUGGGCGGGUCCUCUUCUGGACCGCCAUCAUUCUAGAUUAAAGAAUCUCCGCCGGCGGCACUGCUUCGUGGCGGCCUUCUUGCUCAUAAUACGGAAGUAACCUUUUCCUCUUCAACGAAGUAUUGAGCCGGGAGGAGUGAAAUAGCUGAGUAAUCUGAAACGUUUUCUCCAAAAUGAAUUUCUUCCUGGAAACGCUCAAAAUAAUCGUGCUGUGUAUAUAUAAUCUGAUGGAGUAUUUCUUAUCGUUUAUCUAUGCACCGAAGAAAAAUGUUGCUGGUGAAAUAGUGCUUAUAACUGGAGCUGGAAGUGGAAUGGGAAGGCUGAUGGCUUUAAAAUUUGCUCAUCUUGGAGCUACUUUAGUUCUUUGGGAUAUUAAUCUGGAAGGAAUCAAAGAAACAGCUAGAUUAGCACGUAAAAUUGGAACUGCGAGAGUACAUGAUUACAUUUGUGAUUGCAGCAAAAGGCAAGAAAUCUAUCAAGUGGCAGACCAGGUGAAAAAGGAAGUUGGUGAUGUUGGUAUCCUGAUUAAUAAUGCUGGCAUCAUAACGGGAAGAAUGUUUUUAGACAGCCCCGAUAUGCUUCUAGAGAAGAGUAUUCAAGUGAACACAAUGGCACACUUUUGGACUGUCAAAGCAUUUGUUCCAGCCAUGGUAGCCUCUAAUCAUGGACAUGUGGUGACUAUUGCAAGUGUAGCUGGCUAUUAUGCUGUCAACAAAAUGGCAGAUUACUGUACAAGUAAAUUUGCAGUUCUGGGUUUUGCUGAAUCUCUAGCUUUAGAGAUGAUGACAAUGAAAAAGAAUGGUGUUAAAUCUACAAUUGUCUGUCCAUAUCUAGUGAACACUGGAAUGUUUGAAGGCUGUGAAACAAAGUGGCCUCAUUUCCUACCUAUUAUAGAGCCAGAAUAUGCUGUAGAAAGAAUUGUGUCCGGGAUACUCCGAAAUGAACGAUAUAUCUUUAUACCGCGAAGUCUAUACUUGAUUAAUGUAAUUAAAAGCAUUACUCCUGCAAAAUCAGCUGACAUCCUUUAUGACUAUUUUGGAAUUUUACAAACUAUGAAUAAAUUCAAAGGUCGGACAAAGAAGACUGAUGAUUACAAAUAUCAGACAAAAUCAAUAAAACCUCCAGGUUCCCUUGACUGAUUUAUAAACUGAGAAGCCAGUAUAGAGAACUUCCAGUUUACACUGUUGUAAAGGGUACACUUAAAACAACAGAUCUGAAAUAGCUUAUUAGCAAAAAUGAAAUACUGGGAGCAGGGUAUGAUAAUUUUAACUACCACUUUUUACAAUUGCUGAAAUACAACCUAAUAGUGAUGUUUUAUUUCAAUAAAAUUACUUAAUUAUACAAAACCAAUUAAUUUUUUGUGGACUGUUAGCAAAACAAGGAAAAUAGUAAACUAAUAGUAAACUAAUGAUAUAUAAGCUGAAGGUGCUCAAGACCUAGUUGAGUCUAAUUACCCCAUUCUAACCAGGAAAUUGUGGUUUUUCACUUUAGAUGAGAAGAGGAAGAGGUUCAUAUGACUGCUGCCAAAACGCCCAGAUAUUAUUUCAAAGUUAGGUUCUGAAUCCCAACCCAGACUGACGACAACUGCCCACCUAGAAAUUGAGUAGGAACAUCUUGUGGGCUCUGGCUUUCCAGACCCUGCAGUAGAAAAAUCUUAGCCUCAAUGUACCCAGCCACGACAAAAUUCUAUCAACUAACUGGGCAUUUUAGGUACAAAAUAAAUACACUUGUACCACCCACACUUGUACAAGUAAUUGUUCCAUUACUGUUUAGAUUUUUCACAACCAAGAAUAUUUAGACCUCUGCUUGGGUAUGUCUUGGUAAGAAUCACAGACCUUUAUCUAAUUAAAUUAUCUAGUUUAAAAUACAAUUGCGAAAAACAGUAUUUUUAAUAUUAGAAAUUUAAAUUGUUUAAUGUAGCAGUCUGUGAUCAACAUUUUAUUAACAGCUCCAGUAUUCCAUAGAGAACUUCCAUACAAAUAUUAUCCAGGCCUGAUCCUAUUUAGCAUCUAAGUCCAGAAAUAUUACCUAGGUGUUACACCUAAAACAGGCAUCAAGGCAACUUGAGUUGUAAUAAACUUUGUUUUUUAAAUUUAGUAAUUUAAACAUUGACAAUGCUGUGAGCAUACCUUACUAUUUCCUGCAAUGAAUUACAUAUAUCAGUAUAACACUGUUGUAUUUCUAAUAGCAUUUGAAAUUACCUUAAUUAUGUAGAAGACAGAUAUAUUUACCAAUAACAAUUUAUUCUAGAAAAAAAGAUAAAGCCAUGUUUUCCUACAUGAAAAACUUAAUCGAUCCAAAUUUUCUUUUCUUGUAAGAUCAAGAGGCAAAUAAUAGAAUUAAUAAUAUAAUUAUAUUAACAAUAUAUUAUUUGUAUCAUAAGUCCCUACUCAUGCAGAAAUUCAAAUUACAGCAUUUCAAAUAACUCCAUCUAGCUGAGUGCAGUAAUAAACAAUUGUUUAUUUAAUAAAUGUACUAAAUAUGGGAAUAGCUUCAAUAUAGUCUGAAAUGUUGCGGUCAAUUUUUCACAUUCUAAUUUCAGUUUACUGCCUGGUAAUAAUAUAGAACUGUUUCUAAUCAGCAUCAACAAAACAUUUUUUUUAAAAAAUCGUAAGAUUUAUAUGUAUAACUGCUCAUACUCAAAACUUUUGUUAUACUGAGUAUAAACAGGAAUGAAAUCAUCAGCUGAAAUAAUUCAGAAGAUCAAAUCUGAUGCAACACCCCUUUGUCUCAAAGAAUUAAAUAUGGUUCAGAUACAAGGGUUUAUACAGGAUAUGUAUAGAUCUAUUCAUUUUAAUUAUUUGUAUAACUCUGACAUUGUAGUUUGAUUUAACCCUUCAAUACAACAUACCCUUUAACUCCGAGGUCCCAUGGAAGAGAUAUAAAAAACAAUAUGAAUGCUAUGAUAUCCUGACACUUAAUGCUUCAUAUGAACUCAGUGAUUCUUGAUUCCAUCCAGACUGACAUUUAUAUAUAAAUUACAAGCUGAUGUCUGCUGGACAUAUAGAAAGUGUCCAGUUCUUCCUAAACUUUUUGAAAAUACAUGUAGCACCUUUUCUAGGAACCUCCUAAUAUAUACCAAACUGCUUAAUUUAUUAAUAAAAAUGUUAGUUAAUACCAUUGAAUUGACAGACUUGAGGCUAAAGGUGAAAAUAUCUAUAGAUUGGUAACCAUCAACAUCAUAGUGAAGAAUAUUAGUCCUUAAAAUAACAAUUUUUAACAGGAUAUUAAAAUUUAGUGAUAACUGAUACACUGUUCUAAAGUGAGCCAACUUUUGUCUUGUCUUGAGAAAUAAAUCUAUGGGAAUGCUCAGUCCCAUACUAUAUUUUCAACUAUUUCGUUUGAUUACAUUAUCUGUAAUCAAUUUGAAUUCCUUCCUCUUUGUAUAUAUGAAAUUAUGUGUUACAAUAAA